rnacentral:lncRNA from 1 species
UUCUAAAUGUUAAACAAAUGGUCUAUAUGACAUCUAGUUCUUUCAAGGGACACAUGAACUCUUUCAUUAACGAGUUUACAAUUAUUAAAUACUUUGUCACGAAAUGCUGACCUCCUCUUGCACCUAGUAUCAUACAAGUUAGUUUGUGAUUUCCUAGUUAUAAUUGGAUUAUUAAGUGCAACACAGAUGGGUCAUCAAGAGGAAAUAUUGAAAUAUCAACUUGUUGUGGCAUAUUUAGGGAUAAUUUAGGAACAUUCUUGGGAACUUU